rnacentral:misc_RNA from 1 species
UUUCCGUAGGUGAACCUGCGGAAGGAUCAUUAAAGAACGCCCCGUUUUUUGAAAUGGGUAACUCUAAACCGUGUAUACAUACCUUUGUUGCUUUGGCAGGCCGCCCCUCAGGGCGUCGGCUCCGGCUGACUGCGCCUGCCAGAGGACCCAAACUCUUUUGUUUAGUGAUGUCUGAGUACUAUAUAAUAGUUAAAACUUUCAACAACGGAUCUCUUGGUUCUG